AGUCGAACGAGAGAGAAGGAGCUUGCUUCUUCGAUCGAGUGGCGAACGGGUGAGUAACGCGUGAGGAACCUGCCUCAAAGAGGGGGACAACAGUUGGAAACGACUGCUAAUACCGCAUAAGCCCACGGGUCGGCAUCGACCUGAGGGAAAAGGAGCAAUCCGCUUUGAGAUGGCCUCGCGUCCGAUUAGCUAGUUGGUGAGGUAAUGGCCCACCAAGGCGACGAUCGGUAGCCGGACUGAGAGGUUGAACGGCCACAUUGGGACUGAGACACGGCCCAGACUCCUACGGGAGGCAGCAGUGGGGAAUAUUGCACAAUGGGGGAAACCCUGAUGCAGCGACGCCGCGUGGAGGAAGAAGGUCUUCGGAUUGUAAACUCCUGUUGUUGAGGAAGAUAAUGACGGUACUCAACAAGGAAGUGACGGCUAACUACGUGCCAGCAGCCGCGGUAAAACGUAGGUCACAAGCGUUGUCCGGAAUUACUGGGUGUAAAGGGAGCGCAGGCGGGAAGACAAGUUGGAAGUGAAAUCUAUGGGCUCAACCCAUAAACUGCUUUCAAAACUGUUUUUCUUGAGUAGUGCAGAGGUAGGCGGAAUUCCCGGUGUAGCGGUGGAAUGCGUAGAUAUCGGGAGGAACACCAGUGGCGAAGGCGGCCUACUGGGCACCAACUGACGCUGAGGCUCGAAAGUGUGGGUAGCAAACAGGAUUAGAUACCCUGGUAGUCCACACCGUAAACGAUGAUUACUAGGUGUUGGAGGAUUGACCCCUUCAGUGCCGCAGUUAACACAAUAAGUAAUCCACCUGGGGAGUACGACCGCAAGGUUGAAACUCAAAGGAAUUGACGGGGG
rnacentral:rRNA from 1 species